CGAUUAGUUUGAUCAUGGCUCAGGACGAACGCUGGCGGCGUGCUUAACACAUGCAAGUGGAGCGACGAACCCGGGCUUGCCCGGGGGCAGAGCCGCGAACGGGUGAGUAACACGUGGGUCACCUGCCUUGAUGACCGGGACAACCCGAGGAAACUCAGGCUAAUACCGGAUGUGCUCUUCGGAGGAAAGGAAGCUUCGGCCUCCGCAUCGAGAUGGGCCCGCGGCGCAUUAGCUUGUUGGUGGGGUAACGGCCUACCAAGGCGACGAUGCGUAGCUGGUCUGAGAGGACGAUCAGCCACACUGGGACUGAGACACGGCCCAGACUCCUACGGGAGGCAGCAGNGGGGAAUCUUGCGCAAUGCGCGAAAGCGUGACGCANCAACGCCGCGUGGGGGAAGAAGGNCUUAGGGUUGUAAACCUCUUUCAGUUGGGACGA
rnacentral:rRNA from 1 species